GUGCACAUUCCAUUGGCCUGCUUCUCUUGGAUAGGUGAGCAGUGUUAUUUCUUAUGUGCUACACAAGUAGUUGAAGGUUAAUUAGCAGUAUAACUAAAUUGUAAUGCUGCCAGUCUCCUUCAGACAAAU
ensembl:snoRNA SNORA19 small nucleolar RNA, H/ACA box 19